UACGUAGGGUGCAAGCGUUAAUCGGAAUUACUGGGCGUAAAGCGUGCGCAGGCGGUUUUGUAAGUCAGAUGUGAAAUCCCCGGGCUCAACCUGGGAAUGGCGAUGAAGACUGCAAGGCUAGAAUCUGGCAGAGGGGGGUAGAAUUCCACGUGUAGCAGUGAAAUGCGUAGAGAUGUGGAGGAACACCGAUGGCGAAGGCAGCCCCCUGGGUCAAGAUUGACGCUCAUGCAC
rnacentral:rRNA from 1 species